GUCAGGUGGGGCUACCCGCUGAGUUUAAGCAUAUAAAUAAGCGGAGGAGAAGAAACUUACGAGGAUUCCCUUAGUAACGGCGAGCGAACCGGGAUCAGCCCAGCUUGAGAAUCGGGCGGCUGCGUCGUCUGAAUUGUAGUCUGGAGAAGCGUCCUCAGCGACGGACCGGGCCCAAGUCCCCUGGAAAGGGGCGCCGGGGAGGGUGAGAGCCCCGUCCG
rnacentral:rRNA from 1 species